AGGGAAUAGAUACCCGGGUAGUCCACGCCCUAAACGAUGUCAACUGGGUGUUGGGGAAGCGAUUCCUUGGUACCGUAGCUAAACGCGUGAAAGUUGACCGCCUGGGGAGUACGGCCGCAAGGUUAAAACUCAAAGGAAUUGACGGGGACCCGCACAAGCGGUGGAUGAUGUGGAUUAAUUCGAUGCAACGCGAACAACCUUACCUACCCUUGACAUGUCCGGAACCCUGCUGAGAGGUGGGGUGCCCGAAACGGGAAUCGGAACACAGGUGCUGCAUGGCUGUCGUCAGCUCGUGUCGUGAGAUGUUGGGUUAAGUCCCGCAACGAGCGCAACCCUUGUCCCUAGUUGCUACGCAAGGGCACUCUAGGGAGACUGCCGGUGACAAACCGGAGGAAGGUGGGGAUGACGUCAAGUCCUCAUGGCCCUUAUGGGUAGGGCUUCACACGUCAUACAAUGGACGGUACAGAGGGUA
rnacentral:rRNA from 1 species